GAUGAACGCUAGCGACGGGCUUAACACAUGCAAGUCGAGAGGCAGCGGGGGUAGCAAUACCCGCCGGCGACCGGCGCACGGGUGAGUAACGCGUAUGCAACUUACCUAUCAGAGGGGGAUAACCCGGCGAAAGUCGGACUAAUACCGCAUGAAGCAGGGGCCCCGCAUGGGGAUAUUUGCUAAAGAUUCAUCGCUGAUAGAUAGGCAUGCGUUCCAUUAGGCAGUUGGCGGGGUAACGGCCCACCAAACCGACGAUGGAUAGGGGUUCUGAGAGGAAGGUCCCCCACAUUGGUACUGAGACACGGACCAAACUGCUACGGGGGGCAGCAGUGAGGAAUAUUGGUCAAUGGGCGCGAGCCUGAACCAGCCAAGUCGCGUGAGGGAUGAAGGUUCUAUGGAUCGUAAACCUCUUUUAUAAGGGAAUAAAGUGCGGGACGUGUCCUGUUUUGUAUGUACCUUAUGAAUAAGGAUCGGCUAACUCCGUGCCAGCCGCCGCAGUAA
rnacentral:rRNA from 1 species